GCCGCGCUCUCCGCCUUGCUGCGCCGCAAGGAGACGGCCAGAGCCGGGCCCGAGCCCCGCACCGGUUCCCGUGCCAGGGGCUCAGCCCUGCACGCUCUCCCCCGGCCCCUCGGUGCAAACCAGUCGGCCAUGUGCAUGCUCCCCGUUCAGUCGUGGGGCCGGGACAAGACAGCUGCUCCGCAGCUCACAGCGGCUGUUCGCAGGAACGGGGGUGGGUGCAGCUGGGGGGUGGGUGCAGCUUUGCCGGGUGCCCGGUCCCUCAACCUCAGCUGGCUAUUGUACUUCGGCAGCUCGGGCACCCGGCAGCAGAACCUUGGGUCUUCAUUUCAUCCUGGAUCGGUCAAAGAGGAAGGGCUUCCGUGAUCAAAUUAUGGUUGACAAUCUGGACAGGGCCAACAAGCAGGUGCAAUCUCAAAGAAGGAAGGAUUCAUGGCAAGUUGAAAGCACAGGCAGGCUGCAGAGCUUGAGGACAAAAUGGCAGCGCGGGAGCUGACACGUGCAUCUUGGUUCCUGAAACAGGAACGUGAGUUGAGUGGGGAAGACAGAGUGCAGUGGAAAGUCCCUGUUUGAGAGGCUGCUUUCACUGGUGGCCACUAGAGUGCAGGCUCCUGCCUCGCCCACUCCACAGCCUGAGUCCCCUCCAAGGUACCGUGCGCUGCAGACCAGGAGCGCUUUGCACAAUUCCUUGCUUGGCAGGUGGCCCAUGCAACUGGGACUUAGCAGCUGGACAGGGCAAAUCUACCCCCUGCAGUCCUCCACCCCGAUCCAGGCCCCAUUCCCCCUGCACAUGUCCACCCUUAUGCUGACCGCCCUCCCCCCCUGCAGAACUCCACCCCCAAGCAGUGGCACCCAGUGCAUGCUAAACGCACAUGACCGAGAAAGCAGAACAUGCCAGAGGACACGCAAACUUAGGGGAUUGUUUUGGUGGCAUUGGUUUCACUGUUUACGCCAUGCAGUGUUUGGUUUAUGCACUUUGUUUUAUUACUGGUUUUGUGCUGGUUUAAUAUAUGCAGACAUAGCAUUGGCAGGCAGGCCAGCUGCCAUUAGAACACCAAAACAGCACCACCACUCCCCCGUAAUACAUCCAUGUUCACAAAUAAAGGCUUUUAUUUAAUUAA